rnacentral:rRNA from 1 species
AGCGACAGAUAAGGAGCUUGCUCCUUUGACGUUAGCGGCGGACGGGUGAGUAACACGUGGAUAACCUACCUAUAAGACUGGGAUAACUUCGGGAAACCGGAGCUAAUACCGGAUAACAUAUUGAACCGCAUGGUUCAAUAGUGAAAGGCGGCUUUGCUGUCACUUAUAGAUGGAUCCGCGCCGUAUUAGCUAGUUGGUAAGGUAACGGCUUACCAAGGCAACGAUACGUAGCCGACCUGAGAGGGUGAUCGGCCACACUGGAACUGAGACACGGUCCAGACUCCUACGGGAGGCAGCAGUAGGGAAUCUUCCGCAAUGGGCGAAAGCCUGACGGAGCAACGCCGCGUGAGUGAUGAAGGUCUUCGGAUCGUAAAACUCUGUUAUCAGGGAAGAACAAAUGUGUAAGUAACUGUGCACAUCUUGACGGUACCUGAUCAGAAAGCCACGGCUAACUACGUGCCAGCAGCCGCGGUAAUACGUAGGUGGCAAGCGUUAUCCGGAAUUAUUGGGCGUAAAGCGCGCGUAGGCGGUUUUUUAAGUCUGAUGUGAAAGCCCACGGCUCAACCGUGGAGGGUCAUUGGAAACUGGAAAACUUGAGUGCAGAAGAGGAAAGUGGAAUUCCAUGUGUAGCGGUGAAAUGCGCAGAGAUAUGGAGGAACACCAGUGGCGAAGGCGACUUUCUGGUCUGUAACUGACGCUGAUGUGCGAAAGCGUGGGGAUCAAACAGGAUUAGAUACCCUGGUAGUCCACGCCGUAAACGAUGAGUGCUAAGUGUUAGGGGGUUUCCGCCCCUUAGUGCUGCAGCUAACGCAUUAAGCACUCCGCCUGGGGAGUACGACCGCAAGGUUGAAACUCAAAGGAAUUGACGGGGACCCGCACAAGCGUGGAGCAUGUGGUUUAAUUCGAAGCAACGCGA